AAUCUGGAUGUCCAGUGGCUCAAACAGGACUCUAGAUAUGAGCAAGAAACAUGGAGCAGAGUUUUUGGGGACAAUACGACAUCAGUGAUGGACAAUGUUAGAGGAAGAUACCAAGUGGUGACAAACACAUCAGCUCUUCGUGUUUCCAACGUCACAACAACAGACUUUACAGAGUACAACUGUCUGGUGAUGAACCAACAGCAGUGUGUUAGCAGUUACUCUGUAGAGUUGAGACUACAUUAUGAGAUGAUCUACGGCUCAGUGGGAGAGACCGCUGUGUUGCCGUGCACUAUCACUGACUCCACUGAUGAACAGCCCCCACGUUGGAGUAAAAUGAUUCUGAU